UCAGCUCCUUUUCUCCUACUUCUUCACAACAUCUCCUGGUCAGGAAAGUGGGUCAAGCCACCCACAUGAGACUCUUUCUGCUAAGCAGAAGACCCGUUGGCCAGGGGGGCCUUUGCAUCCUGCACUCAGCCCUGCCCUUCUUUGCCCUUUGGAGGACUGUUCAGUGGACCAGCUUUCUCCCUCAGAAAGAGAGCACUGGCCAGAGAGACGUUGAGACGGUGCAUGGAGCCUGCCACCUUUUUGGGGUCUUCAAGCAGAGGGCCCUGCCAGUCCAUCUCUGGCAACCAGCGGCAGCCAGCGCUGUGCCCAGCCCACCCCCUCCAAGCCCUGCCAGUCGCCCAAUUAGAAGCUGCGUUGGCUUCAACAGAUGGGAGCUGCGGCAGCCUGAGGAACAGAGCACAAAGCCCAGCUGA